rnacentral:rRNA from 1 species
UACGAAGGGUGCAAGCGUUACUCGGAAUUACUGGGCGUAAAGGGCGCGUAGGCGGCCCCGUAAGUCUUGGGUGAAAGCCCUCGGCUCAACCGAGGAAUUGCCUUGGAUACUGCGGGGCUCGAGGCUGGAAGAGGACAGUGGAAUUCCCGGUGUAGCGGUGAAAUGCGCAGAUAUCAGGAGGAACACCAAUGGCGAAGGCAGCUCGCUGGGACGGUACUGACGCUGAGACGCGAAAGCGUGGGGAGCAAACAGG